AGCGAGACCACGAACCCACCAGAAGGAAGAAACUCCGAACACAUCAGAACAUCAGAAGGGACAGACUCCAGAUGCGCCACCUUAAGAGCUGUAACACUCACCACGAAGGUCUGCAGCUUCACUCCUGAGCCAGCAAGACCACGAACCCACCAGAAGGAAGAAACUCCAAACACAUCUGAACAUCAGAAGGGACAGACUCCAGAUGCGCCACCUUAAGAGCUGUAACACUCACCACGAGGGUUUGCGGCUUCAUCCUUGAAGUCAGUGAGACCAAGAACCCACCAAUUCCGGACACAUUUUGGCGACCACGAAGGGACUUUCGCAUAUCGCCAAGCGGUGAGACAAUAGCCGAGCGGUGAGACCUUUCCCAAUCGCCAAGCACUGUAACACCGCGAAGAUCUGCAGCUUCACUCCUGAGCCCAGCGAGACCACGAGCCCACCGGGAGGAACCAACAACUCCAGACGCGCUGCCUUAAGAGCUGUAACACUCACCGCGAAGGUCUGCAGCUUCACUCCUGAUCCAGCGAGACCAGAGACCACGAACCCACCAGAAGGAAGAAACUCCGAACACAUCUGAACAUCACAAGGGACAGACUCCAGAUGCGCCACCUUAAGAGCUGUAACACUCACCGCGAGGGUCCGCAGCUUCAUUCUUGAAGUCAGUGAGACCAAGAACCCACCAAUUCCGGACACAGGAUGACUACAGUUAACAAUGAUUUAUUGUACAUUUCAAAAUAGCUAGAAGAGAAGAUUUGACAUGUUUCUAACUCAAAGAAAUGCCAAAUGUUGAGCUGAUGGAUAUCCUGAUUACCCUGAUUUGAUCAUCACACAUUGCAUGCAUGUAUUAGAACAUCACAUGUACCUAUAAAUAUGUAUAUUAUUAUGUAUCAAUUUUUUUAAAAAAGAAACAAAUGUCUAUUAUGAGUUCUUAGCACUGAGUAGAUGCCCAAUGACCAUAAGCUAUCAUUAUUAACACCAGUUUGUUGAUACAUUAUAAAUACAAGAAAUUAUGUUCCUCCAUACCACAUACAUAGAAGAUACUUAAAAAUACAUUCACCAAAAAAAAAAACUAGCAUUUCUUUGUCCUAAAUAAUUCAUUGCAAAAGCCGUUUUCCCAAAGUCACUUGCUCAUACGUCCUAUUACACAUGUUGCUUUAGGCUGUAACCCCAAGAAAAUGGAUAUCUACAUUCCAACCUGAGGAACCACAGUCAAGGCAAGAUCAACAACAGUUUUGUGACCCUUGGCUGACCAAUCAUUUUCGCCCUAUAAAAGACAUUGGAGAAGCCAG
rnacentral:lncRNA from 10 species